rnacentral:rRNA from 1 species
GGAGGGGGCUAGCGUUGUUCGGAAUUACUGGGCGUAAAGCGCACGUAGGCGGCUUUGUAAGUUAGAGGUGAAAGCCCGGGGCUCAACUCCGGAAUUGCCUUUAAGACUGCAUCGCUAGAAUUGUGGAGAGGUAAGUGGAAUUCCGAGUGUAGAGGUGAAAUUCGUAGAUAUUCGGAAGAACACCAGUGGCGAAGGCGACUUACUGGACACAUAUUGACGCUGAGGUGCGAAAGCGUGGGGAGCAAACAGG